AGAGUUUGAUCCUGGCUCAGGACGAACGCUGGCGGCGUGCUUAACACAUGCAAGUCGAACGGAAAGGCCCAGCUUUGCUGGGUACUCGAGUGGCGAACGGGUGAGUAACACGUGGGUGAUCUGCCCUGCACUCUGGGAUAAGCCUGGGAAACUGGGUCUAAUACCGGAUAUGACCAACUGUCGCAUGGUGGUUGGUGGAAAGCUUUUGCGGUGUGGGAUGGGCCCGCGGCCUAUCAGCUUGUUGGUGGGGUAAUGGCCUACCAAGGCGACGACGGGUAGCCGACCUGAGAGGGUGAUCGGCCACACUGGGACUGAGACACGGCCCAGACUCCUACGGGAGGCAGCAGUGGGGAAUAUUGCACAAUGGGCGGAAGCCUGAUGCAGCGACGCCGCGUGAGGGAUGACGGCCUUCGGGUUGUAAACCUCUUUCACCAGGGACGAAGCGUGAGUGACGGUACCUGGAGAAGAAGCACCGGCCAACUACGUGCCAGCAGCCGCGGUAAUACGUAGGGUGCGAGCGUUGUCCGGAAUUACUGGGCGUAAAGAGCUCGUAGGCGGUUUGUCGCGUCGUCUGUGAAAUUCUGCAACUCAAUUGCAGGCGUGCAGGCGAUACGGGCAGACUUGAGUACUACAGGGGAGACUGGAAUUCCUGGUGUAGCGGUGAAAUGCGCAGAUAUCAGGAGGAACACCGGUGGCGAAGGCGGGUCUCUGGGUAGUAACUGACGCUGAGGAGCGAAAGCGUGGGUAGCGAACAGGAUUAGAUACCCUGGUAGUCCACGCCGUAAACGGUGGGUACUAGGUGUGGGUUCCUUUUCACGGGAUCCGUGCCGUAGCUAACGCAUAAGUACCCC
rnacentral:rRNA from 1 species